CCAAUAGCGUAUAUUAAAGUUGUUGCAGUUAAAAAGCUCGUAGUUGAAUUUCGGGAUCAAUGUUUCGGUCAUGCCGUUGGUAUGUACUGAUAUUAUUGAUUUCUCACCUUCUCAAGAACCGUAAUGCCAUUAAUUUGGUGUCACGGGGAAUUAGGACUGUUACCUUGAAAAAAUUAGAGUGUUUAAAGCAGGCUCACGCUUGAAUACAUUAGCAUGGAAUAAUGAAAUAGGACAUCCGAUUCUAUUUUGUUGGUUUCUAGGAUCGAUGUAAUGAUUAAUAGGGAUAGUUGGGGGCAUUAGUAUUCAAUUGUCAGAGGUGAAAUUCUUGGAUUUAUUGAAGACUAACUACUGCGAAAGCAUUUGCCAAGGAUGUUUUCAUUAAUCAAGAACGAAAGUUAGGGGAUCGAAGACGAUCAGAUACCGUCGUAGUCUUAACCAUAAACUAUGCCGACUAGGGAUCGGAUGAUGUUAAUUUUUUAAUGACUCAUUCGGCGCCUUACG
rnacentral:misc_RNA from 1 species